CUGCAACUCGCCUGCAUGAAGUCGGAAUUGCUAGUAAUCGCAGAUCAGCAUGCUGCGGUGAAUACGUUCCCGGGCCUUGUACACACCGCCCGUCACACCNUGGGAGUCGGUAACACCCAAAGUUGGUAGCCUAACCGCAAGGAGGGCGCCGCCUAAGGUGGGAUUGAUGACUGGGGUGAAGUCGUAACAAGGUACC
rnacentral:rRNA from 1 species